rnacentral:rRNA from 1 species
GACGAACGCUGGCGGCGUGCUUAACACAUGCAAGUCGAACGGAAAGGCCCCUUUGGGGGUACUCGAGUGGCGAACUGGUGAGUAACACGUGAGUAACCUGCCCUUGACUUCGGGAUAACUUCAGGAAACUGGGGCUAAUACCGGAUAGGAAUCCUUGCUGCAUGGUGGGGGUUGGAAAGCUUCGGCGGUUUUGGAUGGACUCACGGCUUAUCAGCUUGUUGGUGGGGUAGUGGCUUACCAAGGCUUUGACGGGUAGCCGGCCUGAGAGGGCGACCGGCCACAUUGGGACUGAGAUACGGCCCAGACUCCUACGGGAGGCAGCAGUGGGGAAUAUUGCACAAUGGGCGGAAGCCUGAUGCAGCAACGCCGCGUGCGGGAUGACGGCCUUCGGGUUGUAAACCGCUUUCAGCAGGGGCGAAGCUUGUGGUGACGGUACCUGCAGAAGAAGCACCGGCUAACUACGUG